CCUACGGGAGGCAGCAGUGGGGAAUAUUGCACAAUGGGGGAAACCCUGAUGCAGCAACGCCGCGUGAGUGAAGAAGUAUUUCGGUAUGUAAAGCUCUAUCAGCCGGGAAGAGAAUGACGGUACCUGUCUGAGAAGCCGCGGCUAACUACGUGCCAGCAGCCGCGGUAAUACGUAGGGGGCGAGCGUUAUCCGGAUUUACUGGGCGUAAAGGGAGCGUAUACGGUUCUGCAAGUCUGAAGUGAAAGCCGCUGGCUUAACCGCGGAACGGCUUUGGAAACUGAGGAACUGGAGUGAUGGAGAGGCAAGCGGAAUGCCUAGUGUAGCGGUGAAAUGCGUAGAUAUUAGGAGGAACACCGGUGGCGAAGGCGGCUUGCUGGACAGUAACUGACGUUGAGGCUCGAAAGCGUGGGGAGCAAACAGGAUUAGAUACCCGUGUAGUC
rnacentral:rRNA from 1 species